GCCUUCUCACUUCCUUUCUACACAGGCAGAUGCAGCUGUUUGUGGUUUUUCUCCCCUCCCCAGUGCAUUAACCCACAAACCCCGGGCAAACGCACCUGGUAGGCGUUUCUGAGACUGAGCAACCAGCACUGACCAGGUUCACUGCACUGCCUGAGAAAGGGCACCUGAUGGUCCUUCAAAAUAGCAUUUGAAAAUGACAAAGGCAAAUAACCCUUCCUCCAGCUACAAGUGGAGGUCUCCUCUAAUUUCAUCCAGUUCUGUAGGUUUUAGCGGAAUCUGUUCCCUAAUGGAUCCAAACAGAUUGGACAUCUAGAGAUCUACAAAGGACACUGAAGGUUUCCCAGAGUUUGAGGCAGCCCAGGGAAGCCCCAGCAAAAGAAAUCCAUGUGUGGGAUGGCAGCCUGACCUGGAGGGACGGUUCAGAAGGUGGUGGCUGGCAGCUGCUGCAACAUCAGCUUGGAUAUGGCUUCAUCUCACAGAGCUUUGCCUUUGGUUCAGGGACGACUCCUGUUCAUAAACCCACAGCAGGGAUGUCCGAGCAGAGUUGUAUGACGGCUGUAACCUCACUGUGGUUUGGUCUUAUCUAGAGCACCUUAUACUGCCUCCGCUUUGAGAUAACAGAGAAAGAAACCGUAGCCAGGACCACAUCCCAGGGGAUGAAACAAGCGCCCUAGUCACAGGUGGUGCCCGCUCAAGGAGGAUCUACUGGGCAUCAAACAGGAUCCAGAGCUCAUAAACGUGCGGGAUGGAUGGUUUGUGCAUCCCCAGAGAAUAGUUCUCUCUCCUGAGGAAGAAUUCAUUGCCAUAGAUACAUCCGGGAAGAGGGAAAGAAGAUAACUAUACAAUUCUAGAGUUGCUGCCCUUGUGUGUUUGGUUGCUUGAUAGUUUCCAUAAAACAUAAGUUGUUCAAAAUAUACUGAACUAUAACUACCUAAUUAUAAGAUUUUUUUAUUUCCUAAAUGCACAGCUUUAACAAAUUGUGUUCAAGCUCAUGCCAAGGCAAAAUAUUUGAUUUCAUACUUUCUAGUAGCAGGCACACAUACGGUCUAUAUAUCUUGGCAAGAUUGCCAUCAGGGAAGGGUUUGUUUUUUAUCACAUAGUCUGGGACUUCACAGAAAAACUAGUAUGUUUAGUUUUGUUAAACCAUUUAAGGUACAUGAGCUUUUCAUUGAGAACAUCAGCAUGGAAAAUUAAUUUCUCCCUGGCUGAAUGCCUAAAGCUACAGUCACUGAUUUGGUCAUAUUUACUCAAGGAUUAGAUCAGAAAUAUAGGUACCUAGUACUUUUCUAGCAGUAGAAACACGCUCAUGUUUCAUGAGAUAAGAUUAAAUUCUGUCUACAAAAAGAGCAGUUUUUCUUAUUGAGAACGAUGAUUCCAAAAUCUCUGAUAGCUAAAGCAGCUUAGAGCAAACUGAAAUGGGAAGGACACAGUUACUGCUCCUAAACCAGAAGCCUCUGUUUGCUCCUCUGUUUGGGAAUGAUUUGGACACAUCAGGAAAAUGACAGAAAAGCUGAUGAAAUUAUGCUACAGGCAUCCAAAAAUCCUACUACAGCCCUUGUUCCUAUGUUGUGAGUGGCAGUGGUAAUAAAUUUGUUGAACACAUUGCUUAACAUGCAUGACAUUUUGUUGUCUCUCUCCAACAAACAGGAAUUAAACAGGUCACUCAGGGUGAGGCAGAAAAAGCUAAUGUGACUAAAUUGUUGUCUACCCAAAUUAGUUAUAUUUAAUCACUGUUAUCUGCGGUCCUCUCAUUUUUUGUCUCUCUUCAGAAAUACAGUUAUACCCGUUUCCAAAGAGUUCCUAGGCAACUCUCUGUGUUGAGGGGAUGAUGGCAUGCUUCUCUGCUAGCUUUGGUCUCCUUGAUGAUUUCAUCUUGUUUGAAGAUUUGUCUUUUCUUGGGUUUUUUGACAUUAUUAUUUCCCAUUUCCUCUUUCUUUUCCUGUCUUCUUUGUCUACAGGUGCUCUCGCUUCCCUCUCCUUGUUUUCUAGGGAAAUGUCCCACCAUGUUCUGUCUUUGGCCUUCUCACCAAAUAGUCAAAUGCUUCCAGAGCACCUGGUGAAGCUCUGGCCUCCUGAACAUCAUUCUUUACUCUCUAGGUUAUGGCAUGAUCCCUCGUUUUAAAGUGCGUGACUUUAUAUUUGACUUUGAUAAAAUGUCCAGCUCACCAAGGACUUAGCAUCCUCUAAAAUAUUUACCACUCUGAUGAUCUUUGCCUUAUUCACGAGUAUAGCUAUCAACAAAAAGCUGUAAGUGUUGACAGCCCCUUCUGAGAGGUCCUCUCACUGCAGACCUGUUGCUCUCUGGCGUGUAACAUCUCGUGGUGCAGAGCACGGUGUGCCCUGUUGUCCCCAGCUCUCACAGCAAAGCCCUGGUGGGGUCUCCUAGCCGGGGUAAUUUACAGUUAAGUAAUUUAAAUUACUUAUUUUUUAAAAAAAUUACAAAAAAAAAUACAAUUAAAUUAAGUAAAUAAGAGCAAUUAAGCUGCUCUCAUGCUCUCAAAUUUUGUGGGUGAACGCUUGGCCACCAGUCGGCUGACAGAUGAAGAACAAGAGACCUGGCCAGGCACCAUCUCUUCUGCAAUACAGCCUAGGUCCUGCAGCAGGCACACAUGGAUUGCUGGACUCCGGUGUCCUUGUUUUAGAUUGCUUCUCCCUUUGUCUGUAUGGAUAAGCACCCUGGCUCCCCCAGACCAUGUGCAUGCCUUCAUGCCUUUCUGCCUCUCAUGUUUCUUCUCUUCCUCACACAAAUUCUUGUGCCCUACAGCAGACCGUGCCUGCUUACCUUUCUUCUUGUCUUACCCUGCUGCUCCCACCUUAUCUAUUUGACAAAUGAUUUUCCUGAACUGUCUCCAAACUGUCUUCCUACCAGUGCUGUGCUGUUCUUCUGGUGACGUGUAGUAAAGUCCUGUCUGAAGACCUAUGCCCUCUGUGAGCCUAAGGGAACCACGACCUGCAGGUUAUUUUUCUGUGUGUCUUGGAUGGAUUUGUCAUGUACGCGAAAUACAAAGGGGGUUGAACGUUAGCCUGAUUUAGAAAGAAACACAAUGAGUAUUUAACAUUUUUUUUUAUAUUUCUUUCGUUUACCACAUGAUAUCUAGAGAAUUAAUUUAAUAAUCCAUAGAAUAGAUAGUGUAAUAUAGCAAUUUCUCAAUUAAUAAGCUUCCACAGCAAAAGAAGGGAUAUGCUGAGAGGUACGGGCAUAAAGGUUAAGGCAAAGCAGCAAGAUGAAGAGCUAAAUAUAAAGAAAGAAGCUGUUGGCUUGGUGAGAGCUAGAAAGAAAGAAGUCCUUGCACCAGAAGUGCAAAAUUGUAGAUCGUAGGGACAGAUGAGCCAAGUUUGAAGGGAGUGAAGUGAACAUAAAGAAGGCAUUUGUGUUUAAAUCCUAAUCAGAUAACUCCCAUUUAGAAGGCUGGCUAUUUGCUUUAUUCUUGAAUCUCCGUACAUUCCUCUCUGCUUCUGUGAAACCAUAAAUACUGCAUUUGACAUCAGCUGUUACAGGGAAAAGUAGUUCAUUAGCUCUCCAAAACAUCCAAAUUAGAUUGUGACGUACUGAAAGUAUAAAACAAAUAUUAAGUAAUGGCAGCCCUGUCAGUUAGAAUUACAGUUCGCCAUAGUGUUGGGUCUUCUUUUCAAAAGAGAGGUGGUGUCACAGUUCAGAAGAGAAAAAUGAUGGGGAAAAAAUUGCUCUUAUUGGUCCCCUAAAUUGCAGCUGGCUUUGCAAAAGCAACAUCAGAGUCCAGCUUUUCUUUGGGUGGAUAUUCGAGUGUGCUGGUUAUGAGCCACCAGAAGGGUACAGGGCAGAUUAGGGAGAAAAUGCUGAUUAAAAAAUAAUUAAAAACAGUUUUCUUGCUGUACAGCAUGUGGAGUUGGCCAGCAACUCCAGACAGAGUGA